ensembl:snRNA U6 U6 spliceosomal RNA
UCGCUUCAGUAGCACAUAUACUAAAACUGGAACAAUACAGAGAAGAUUAGCAUGGCCCCUGUGCAAGGACGACAUGCAAAUUCGUGAAGUGUUCCAUAUUUGG